GAUGAACUGUGGGUAGCGGAGAAAUUCCAAUCGAACCCGGAGAUAGCUGGUUCUCCCCGAAAUAGUUUUAGGACUAGCCUCAAGUUAGAUACCUGGAGGUAAAGCACUGAAUAGCCUAGCGGCCGAGAGGUUAGCGAAGCUUAUCAAACUCAGAAUGCCAGAGUAUUGAUGCUUGGGAGUCAGACAGUGUCAGAUAAAUGUCAUUGUCAAAAGGGAAACAGCCCAGAUCUACAGCUAAGGUCCCAAAGUCAGGUUAAGUGGAAAACGAUGUGAAGAUACGCAGACAACCAGGAUGUUGGCUCAGAAGCAGCCACUCAUUCAAAGAGUGCGUAAUAGCUCACUGGUCGAGCGUCUUUGCGCGGAGAAUUUAACGGGGCUAAACCUGACACCGAAGCUUAGGCAAUCCAGCAAUGGAUUGGGUAGGGGAGCGUUGUAUACGCGGAGAAACAGUAGCGUGAGCGGCUGUGGAGUGUAUAGAAGUGAGAAUGCCGGAAUGAGUAGCGCGAAUGCAGUGAGAAUCUGCAUGGCCGAAAGCCUCAGGUUUUUGGAGGAAGGUUCGUCCGCUCCAAGUUAGUCGGGAGCUAAGGUGAGGCCGGAAGGCGUAGCCGAUGCACAGACGGUAGAGAUUCCGUCACCACCAAAAGAGUUAAGCACAGGGACACAUUUGAAGUCUCAGAGCCGGGUGUUGGUUCCGGUAGAGAUCGAGGGAAGUUAGUACCGAAGUCUGGGAUGGAGGAUGGCGAGAAAAGCUGUGUGUAUUUCUGAGGUGCCCGUACCGCAAACCGACACAGGUAGGUAGGAAGAAGAUUCUAAGGCCAACGGGAGAAGGGUUGUUAAGGAACUCGGCAAAUUGACCCCGUAACUUCGGGAGAAGGGGUGCUCCAGAGAUGGAGCCGCAGAGAAUCGGCCCAAGCAACUGUUUACCAAAAACACAGGUUUGUGCUAAAUCGAAAGAUGACGUAUACGAGCUGACGCCUGCCCGGUGCUGGAAGGUUAAGAGGAGAUGUGCAAGCAUUGAAUCGAAGCCCCAGUGAACGGCGGCCGUAACUAUAACGGUCCUAAGGUAGCGAAAUUCCUUGUCAGGUAAGUUCUGACCCGCACGAAAGGCGUAAUGAUUUGGGCACUGUCUCAACAGCCCGCCCGGCGAAAUUGUAGUACCGGUGAAGAUGCCGGUUACCCGCGACAAGACGGAAAGACCCCAUGGAGCUUUACUGUAGCCUAAUAUUGGGUUUCGAUGUUGCAUGCACAGGAUAGAUGGGACACUAGGAAACAAUCGCUUUGGCGGUUGCGGAGUGGCCGUUGGGAUACCAUCCUUGCGAUAUUGGAAUUCUAACCUGCGGCUCUGAAUCGAGUCGGGGGACAUUGUUAGGUGGGCAGUUUGACUGGGGCGGUCGCCUCCUAAAAAGUAACGGAGGCGUUCAAAGGUUCGCUCAGCUUGAACGGAAAUCAAGCAAAAGAGUGCAAACGCAGAAGCGAGCCUAACUGCGAGACUGACGGGUCGAGCAGUAACGAAAGUUGGAGUUAGUGAUC
rnacentral:rRNA from 1 species